UGUGUGUGUAUUUAGUACUGAACUCAGGAUGUGUUGAUGUUAGGUCAUUAACCUUUAUCCUUAUUACACUUGUAUCAAGAGUACUUAUGUACUUCUGCUUGUGUGUAUAUAUAGUGUGAUCACCCUUAUCAGUCACACCCUUUACUAAAAAAAAACCGGUCUUGCAGGCUGCAAACAAGACCUAGCAGGCUACUGACUGUACGGUGGCGGCUAACAUGACAAUUGUAGCUAUAAUCAUACUUGCAACUAGGUAUUAGUACAACCAGUAGGUUGUACAUAGGAUUGACAGUGCAGUUGUGUGUGUUUUCAAUUAUUGCACAAAUUUUGACUUGUUUCUGCAGGGAAGGGCCACAGCAAGAAACUGAGUUGACAGAUAGCUUAGUUAGCCUUUUAUCUGUCUAAAUGUGUGAAAUUAUAGUCAAUGAAUAUUCUCAUGCAUUACUAUUGAUAUUUGAAAAAUUGCACUAUUUUCAUAUUUCACCGCGUUUUGUCUGACUGACUAAGUAAGUAAGUAAGUUAGUAAGUAAGUAAGUAAGUAAGUAACAUUCUUGGAAAGCAUUUCCUCCUUGUACAGACAUGUUCAGAAGAUUCUAGAUACAGCCUCUAGUCCACUAGAAUCCGGACCAUGGGCGUUUUUCUCAGAAUUGCGUUCGCUUCCAAGAGGCAGAUGACCUCUCAGGCUCCAAUUUUCUUACCUACGCAAUUCCGCCAUCUUUAAAUGACUGCCACAGCAACACACAUGGCAACUUAUGAGGUGGGCGUGGCUGUGACAUCGAUAAGCACAAAACCUUCUUUCUUCAGCUCAGCUCUCCAUUCUCUCACUUCAGGUAUUUCACUUUGAAAAGAAGGCCGGUGAAGGAGCCUCAAUUCCCUGAGUGAAGUGUGGCCUGGGAUCGAGACUAUUGAGGAGUAUAAUAAUACUUCUGUCCAACGACCACUUAUAUAUUUAAUAUCUUCAACAAGAUUACAAUGACAAAUUAAUCAACGUCACAUUUAUCUUAUCAUUAAUGUACUACUGUAAUGAAAAAAGAAAGGGAAUCAAAACUAAAAAACAUUUGCAAUGUGAACGUUGCUAGGAUUGCCAGGAAAAGAAAAGCGCGAAAAAGCGAAGAAACAAGAAAUUCGGCGAGUGCAUAACUCCAAUCCGUUACAACGUCAUGAACAUGUACAGCCGAGUGGCCCACUGUUGAUAAUGAUUUUAGAAUCAAUAUACAGGUUGGGUAAAAAUGAACCGAGAACUAAGAAUUCACAAUAAUCCACCUACACAUCCAACACUUGCAUGUUUGCUCAACACUGUAAGGGAAAACAUCACAAACACAUUAUAUAGCUUGCUUAUAACAAUAAAAAUUACUGAAGGAUUGGCCAGGAAAAGCACAAAAAAAUAUUGCUUGAAACAGUACAUGUGAAUGAAGUUGUAACGGAUUGGAGUUAUGCACUCACCGAAUUUCUUGUUUCUUCGCUUUUUCGCGCUUUUCUUUUCCUGGCAAUCCUAGCAACGUUCACAUUGCAAAUGUUUUUUAGUUUUGAUAUAUAUACAGGGUUUUGCAGAAUUCUUGCAACAGGGCUAAACAGACACAGCAAUGACUUCCAUAUAUGGAAGUCAACUGCUGACUUAUAAUAAUAUUAUAGUGUACAUGUCCAGGUAUAUGUAUAAUGAAAGAUGUCCUGUGAGCCUAAGAGAGCAUCAGCUUAUUUAUAUUCACAACAUUUAAUUAAGGUGGUGGAUGGUACACCAGGUGGAUGCAGGGCAAAUAUUGUUGUGAUGUUGGUGUGUGCAGAACUGUUGGCAUAGCUGUGUAUUGACUGAUCAUUAUCAGUUGUUUUUAGUACUAUUUGGAGGUUUUUGCAUUCUAACCAGACAGAAGAUGGCAAAGCAAAGAAGUGAGAGGAGCAUACCUUCAAGACAUGCAAAUUUUCAAUGGUCAUCCUGAAUUGUUGAUGAGACAGCAGCUGACAGAAGAAAUUGCCAGAGGAGAUUAGGCCUAUAAGGGGCAAGGCAUCUGUCUUCAAACUUAUCAAUAUCAGCCAAUACUACUGUUUGGAGGGUGUCAUUUAUCAACUGUUCCGGUAUCAAUGAAAAGAGCAACAGUUCUUACAAACUUAUGAAUAUAAGCUGAUGCUCUCUGGACAUAUUUCAAAUGAUUACAGGGUGUCUGUCAUACAUGCAGGAUUUUGAAUUAGAGGGGAUUUUGAAGAGUCACAAGAACAUAAAAAAAAAGUCAACAGUUAUUUCAAUACCCUACCGGCUAUAAUUAUGGAUACUCAGUCGUAUGACUGAGUAGAUUGGAGCCAGAGGGGAAUAAUCAUACAUCCCUGUAUGCUGCAUAUACAUGUACAUGUACACAAAAUAAUUAUUAGUUGACUUCCAUAUAUGGAAGUCAUUGCAAUGUCUGUUUAGCCCUGUUGCAAGGAUUUUGCAAAACCCUGUACUACUUCAUUGCCUUUCCUACUUGUUGCGGUUACAACAGCCAGUAUCUGUGACGUAGGAGUGGAGGAAUGCUUUUUCUAUUGGAGUUGCGUACUCUUCCUAAUGAACUCGUGAUGACAAAUCCCAAUAUUAAUGUUAUUCAUGAUCCAACCUUGUAUAAAAAUGUAUAGCUAAAUAGGGCUUCUUAUUUAGUACACAUACAUGUAGGCACUGGGCUCAUGUAAAGUGUAUCUAGAAAGUGAAAGCACCAAAAAUUAUUAGCCAGUCUAUAGCCUGAAAGCAUAAUUUUUAUAUCAAACAGUUUCCCAGCUCAGAUGAAAGAAUUGACAGUUUCUGGCCAAAUACCAUGCAAGCAUGUAUGGAUUAUAAUAGACAGUUUUGUGAUUGUAUAUAUAAAUUGGAAAAGAGAAUAUUGAACUACGAAAUUGAGCUAUAAUAUGAGACAUCAAAAGUUAUCCCGGAUAUGGUGGAGGGGCUUCUCCGCCAGAAAAAUACAGUGCAGGGGGCGGUUUUGCAGUGGCUGGGGAUUGCUGAGGGUAGGACGUGUCUGGAGGUUGCUGAGGGUAGGAUGUGCGGUAUGGGGAGGAGGCGUAUUGUCCAGUUGGUUGAGCCCCAUGAACAUUUUGAGGAGGGGCUUGAUUCGAGUUUGAAGAUCUUUGGUUCAUGGAGUAUGCUGUGUUAUGUGUUGACAUAGUGUGAUCUAGAGAAUUCCUAGGUGGGUCGCGAUUCAGGCGAUCCUGGCGAUUUCCUACCAAUAGGCCAAUCACAACCGCGAUAAUGAACAUAAUGAGUAUAGGAAUCGUGACUCCAAUACUAAUCCAGACUUCAGCUGAUGUAGUUGAUGAAUUAAGUGGGUGCUGCAUAAUAAAAGUAUGUUAUACAGUGUAUCAGUGUAUGCGAGAUUUAUAUAUAUCUAUUAUACGUGAUGUAUAUACUGUGGCCGAGAGGGUCACCCACCAUCGCUAUAAUAUAUACAGCGUGUAUUGCGCACACGUUACGUUAACUGGUUGCCACGUACACCAUGACCAACAUCACUUUAGUAACACGAAGCACACGGCGGCAGCGGCUUCAUGUAACCAGUUCACAAAAGAGACAUCAAAAUGUUAGGCAGCAAUCAUAUACAUGCGGUUGACUCUUUUAUCGCUAUUAUAGGUGGCAACUAUUUUACAACCAUGCAGGCGCAAUGCAUACACGUGGUAAUGUGGUAGCGGUGGCAGGUGACCUUUGGCUAUACCACAAUAAUCACUUACAUGUCAUUGCUGAACUAACAGGCUCAGCCAUGCAUGCAUGCACAUUAAUUAUACUAUUGACUAGCUCUUACAUUCAGUACAGGUCAAGGCCACAUCUUCUGAAUGGUAGCAAUCUUCAACUCUGGUAAGGUCAGCAGGACAAUCAAUGAGUCUGCUCUCAGUUCCUCGACAACGAAGCUCCAUUAGCCAUAUCGGAAUAGUCGAUGAAUUCGAAAGUUGGAAGAAACUAUAGAAGGAAUUACGUAAUUAUUAAUGUGUUUGCUCAUUAAUUAUUCAUGAGCUCGAUACGUGCAUUAUAUAUAUAGAAUGAGUGGAAGUCCAGCUGAAACGCAGUAGUCAUAUUUCACAGCUUGAAUAUUUUUACAAGCAUACUUCGUUCUAUUGGCUGAACCACAUGAAGAUAAAAAGGCUACUCUGAAAGCUGCAGCGUUUUGUGAGUUUCAUGGGCUGGAAAGAAAACUGCAAGAAGCAUCACAAGAAGCAUGUAAGAGCAAGAACACAGAGCUUAUAAUUAUAGCUAGUUUUAUUUGACUACUAUAGUUUCUGCAGUUUCUAACUUGAUGAUUGCUCAGAGCGAUAUCGUAUAUAUAACAUUCAAUUUUCAAGGCAAAUAAAUUUCAGGGAAUAAAAAUAAAUUUUGGGGGUUGACUUUUUUACAGGAAACACUCCCACGUCACGCCUUCUAUCCUUUGCACGUUAUAGCAGAUAGGGAUUGCAUGCACUAACCACAAGCCCCUCAAACAGUUUGUGCUAUACAGUUACUACUGUUAAAGAUGGUUAAUAAUUAUAGCUUAC